CGCGACGUUCCUCAUGGACCCGUCCGUCUGUUCGCGCGCGAUUGUCGGAAAGGAACUGGAACGAGUUCGGAAUUCUCGGAACAACGCUGCUUGGAGGAUAUCGGGAUCGCUGGGGCCACCAGGGGUAGUUUUUGGCGAAUGGGGCGGUUUUGGUUUUGGUUGAGAUUCGGAGGGAAUUGCAGUUUCUGAAGGUGUAGUCGAUUCGUAGGAGGUUGACUGAUGACUGAUUAGAUGAAAUAAAAUAUAAUUGUAUCCAAACUUAUGAUACAUCUCAAUCCAUCACAACCACUUCGAUGACACAGAUUGAUAUUCGUAGUAUAUCGCAGGGUGUGUUACUUUAAUUACACAUAUUUCUGAAAUUAUAGAGUCGUUACAUCUAAUAUUUUACACAUAGCAACAGGGGAGCUAUAAUCUACCAUCCUGCGAAACUAGGUUAAUACCGGAGGUGUGCGAGUCUUUCCCCUGUAAGUGCUAAUCGUUUACGUAUACAUUCGUCGGUGGAGUUCCAAUUAGGAAACAUUACACGGACAGAAUUUAUAAAAUAAAAAUAUUUUUAUAUCGUAAAUAUUACUUUAGCAACUAUAAUAAAAUUUUCAUUUUACAGAUCCAUCUUUCA